UACGUAGGGUGCAAGCGUUGUCCGGAAUUACUGGGCGUAAAGCGUGCGCAGGCGGUUGUGCAAGACAGAUGUGAAAUCCCCGGGCUUAACCUGGGAACUGCAUUUGUGACUGCACAGCUGGAGUGCGGCAGAGGGGGAUGGAAUUCCGCGUGUAGCAGUGAAAUGCGUAGAUAUGCGGAGGAACACCGAUGGCGAAGGCAAUCCCCUGGGCCUGCACUGACGCUCAUGCACGAAAGCGUGGGGAGCAAACAGG
rnacentral:rRNA from 1 species